GCAAGUCGUGGGGCAGCAUGGGACUUCGGUUCUGAUGGCGACCGGCGCACGGGUGAGUAACGCGUACACAAUCUACCUUUAAGUGGGGCAUAGCCUUGGGAAACUGAGAUUAAUACCCCAUAGUAUUACUUUUAAUAUUUAAUAGUAAUUAAAGCUCCGGCGCUUAAAGAUGAGUGUGCGUCUGAUUAGGUAGUUGGUAGGGUAAAGGCCUACCAAGCCGACGAUCAGUAGGGGGCGUGAGAGCGUGGAC
rnacentral:rRNA from 1 species